AAGGUAGCGAAAUUCCUUGUCGGGUAAGUUCCGACCUGCACGAAUGGCGUAACGAUCCGGGCACUGUCUCAACGAGAGACUCGGUGAAAUUGUAGUAGCGGUGAAGAUGCCGUUUACCCACAGCUAGACGGAAAGACCCCGUGAACCUUUACUGUACUCUGAUAUUGGCUUUCGAUUUGACAUGUGUAGGAUAGCCGGGAGACGGAGAAGAGUGCUCGUCAGGGCACUCGGAGUCACUGUUGAAAUACCGGUCUUGUCAUAUUGGAAAUCUAACGAAGUUCCGUGAAACCGGAAUUCGGACAUUGUCAGACGGGCAGUUUGACUGGGGCGGUUUCCUCCCAAAAGGUAACGGAGGAGUUCAAAGCUUGUCUCAUCGUGGUUGGCAAUCACGAGAAGAGCGUAAAGGUAUAAGGCAAGUUGACUGCGAGACCGGCAAGUCGAGCAGGUACGAAAGUAGGACUUAGUGAUCCGGCGGUAGAAAGUGGAAUUGCCGUCGCUUAACGGAUAAAAGGUACUCCGGGGAUAACAGGCUUAUCGCCACCAAGAGUUCAUAUCGACGUGGCGGUUUGGCACCUCGAUGUCGGCUCAUCGCAUCCCGGGGCUGUAGAAGGUCCCAAGGGUUUGGCUGUUCGCCAAUUAAAGCGGUACGCGAGCUGGGUUCAGAACGUCGUGAGACAGUUUGGUCCCUAUCUGCUGUGGGCGCAGGAUACUUGAGGAGAGCUGCUUCUAGUACGAGAGGACCGAAGUGGACGAACCAAUGGUGUUCCGGUUGUCCUGCCAAGGGCAUAGCCGGGUAGCUAUGUUCGGAAAGGAUAAGCGUUGAAAGCAUCUAAACGCCAAGCCCCCUCCGAGAUAAGGUAUCCCAUGAGACACCCCGAAGAGAACGGGGUUGAUAGGCCGGGUGUGUAAGCACAGCAAUGUGUUGAGCUAACCGGUACUAAUCGUCGAUCGGCUUAAAUUU
rnacentral:rRNA from 1 species